CACGUAGGGGCCAAGCGUUGUCCGGAUUUAUUGGGCGUAAAGAGCUCGUAGGCGGCUCGGUAAGUCGGGUGUGAAACCUCCAGGCUCAACCUGGAGACGCCACCCGAUACUGCUGUGGCUAGAGUCCGGUAGGGGAGCGUGGGAUUCCUGGUGUAGCGGCGAAAUGCGCAGAUAUCAGGAGGAACACCAGCGGCGAAGGCGGCGCUCUGGGCCGGAACUGACGCUGAGGAGCGAAAGCGUGGGUAGCAAACAGG
rnacentral:rRNA from 1 species